UGUUCUAUUUCAAUGGUUAUAAUAAGUAAAGCAAGAAAAAAAAUAAAUAAUAAAAAGAAUUGUGCGUAGCAAAUGAUGUGAGGGAGAUAGGGGGUUCUAAAGGAAGUGCCAAAACUUCUCCUUCCCACCAGUGGUGUAGGUAAAAGGUAUUUUGACAUUAACAAGAGAGAGAGAGAGAGAGAGAGAGAAAAGGAAAGAUACAAAGAAUGAUGGUGUAAUAUCUAAGAAGACGGUAGUCUCUUUCCUUGUCACGAAGCCAAGUUAGUGAGUCAGUGAGUUAGUAGAGCAUAUCCGAGGCGCCAGGGUCGGCUCAAGGAAUCAUCAUAGUCUUUGAAGAAAGCCGCGUGUCAGGAAUGACGCUUCUGAACAACGCCGGUUGUUGGGAGUUGACGCACGACCUAUGACAGCAAGGAGAGAGACCUUGAUUACCGAACAAGAGGAAAUGGUGGUAAGAAGAAAAGAGGAGAAGACAAGAAGAAAAUCACCAGGAGUUUUGUGUGCUUAACGUUUUGUCGUUAUCGUUUCAAAUCCAACACACAUUCCAAACCUCCCACCAUUUUUUACUUCCCCUUCAACCCCUCAAUCCCUCAACCCUAGCUCUUCACUUCAUUUUAUUCUUUUUCUUUCUU
rnacentral:lncRNA from 1 species